rnacentral:tRNA from 1 species
AAAGGGAGACCUAAUUCGGGUAGGAGACGAAAAAAAAGUAGUCGCUACCAAGAAUCAAUCCCAAAAGGUCGGAGCGAGGCGAAAUUGGCUUUCAAACUAGGUUCUGGGUUCACACAAGACCUGAAUCAGGAACAAGGGCUAUUAGCUCAGGUGGUUAGAGCGCACCCCUGAUAAGGGUGAGGUCCCUGGUUCGAGUCCAGGAUGGCCCACCUGCACAGGUGGCAAAAACAAAGAAAAGAAGCGAGGAAUCAGCACCUUAUCUUACUUAUAUAGUAAGAGAGAAUGCUGGCUCUGAGUACAGAGUCCAGAGGAACCUUGAAAACUGCAUAGAGCUAGGUGAAAAAGCCAAAAAAGAAGACCGCAAG